AUGCUAAUGCCUAGCGAGGUAGUGACAUGAAAUAACGGGGCAGGACUCUCUCGAGUCGUGCCAUCGGAAUGAGAACAACUUAUACCCUUACCGAGUAUCAAUUAGAGGACAAGUCUGGUGCCAGCACCCGCGGUAAUUCCAGCUCUAAUAGCGUAUAUUAAAGUUGUUGCAGUUAAAAAGCUCGUAGUUGGAUUUUGGGUCAGCGCUACUGGUCUGCUUAGGUUAGCCCUGGCGUGUAUCGGUUUCGCUGUCCUUCUGUCUGGGAAUCUUGUCUGCCGUGUAGUGCGGUCGGGCAUGGUAACCAGGCCGUUUACCUUGAAGAAAUUGGAGUGUUUAAGGCAAGCGAUUGCGUCUGCACAUAUUAGCCAGGAAUAAUGAAAUAAGACUUUGGUUUUAUUUUGUUGGUUUCCGAAACCAGAGUAAUGAUUAAUAGGGAUAGUUGGGGGCAUUAGUAUUUGAUAGCCAGAGGUGAAAUUCUUAGACUUAUCAAAGACUAACAACUGCGAAAGCAUUUGCCAAGGAUGUUCUCAUUAAUCAAGAACGAAAGUUAGGGGAUAGAAGGCGAUUAGACACCGCCGUAUUCCUAACCAUAAACGAUGACGACUAGGGAUUGGAGGUCGUUCAAUUCUAAGUACUCCUUCAGCACCUUAUGAGAAAUCAAGAGUUUUUGGUCUCUGGGGGGAGUAUGGUCGCAAGGCUGAAACUUAAAGGAAUUGACGGAAGGGCACCACCAGGAGUGGAGCCUGCGGCUUAAUUUGACCCAACACGGGAAAACUUACCAGGUCCAGACAUAGCAAGGAUUGACAGAUUGAGAGCUCUUUCUUGAUUCUAUGGGUGGUGGUGCAUGGCCGUUCUUAGUUCGUGGAGUGAUUUGUCUGCUUUAUUGCGAUAACGAACGAGACCCCCGCCUGCUAAAUAGUUGGGCAAACACUGCGUUUGUACUCAACUUCUUAGAGGGACUAUUCAUGUAAAUGAAUGGAAGCUGGGGGCAAUAACAGGUCUGUGAUGCCCUUAGAUGUUCUGGGCCGCACGCGCGCUACACUGACUGCGUCAACGAGUUACACCUUGCUCGAUGGAGUAUGGGUAAUCUUAUUAAACGUAGUCGUGCUGGGGAUAGACCAUUGUAAUUUUUGGUCUUAAACGAGGAAUUCCUAGUAAGCGCAAGUCAUCAACUUGCGUUGACUUCGUCCCUGCCCUUUGUACACACCGCCCGUCGCUCCUACCGAUUGGAUGAUCCGGUGAGAUCGUUGGACUGUAGUCCGGUAGCUGGUUCGCUAGCCGCCAGAUAGCAGGAAGUUGAUCGAACCUUAUCAUCUAGAGGAAGGAGAAGUCGU
rnacentral:rRNA from 1 species